rnacentral:lncRNA from 1 species
UGGCCCCGCUGGUCAGCUCCCAGCGCGCGCAUGACCUCCACGGCGACGCCCCAGACGUAGUGGACGCGUCCACUUUCUGCUCCCUCUCGCUCUCUCGCCAGAAAAGCGGCCGCAGCGAGCUCACCGUCGCGAGCUCACUCCGGCGAACUCAAACGUGCUCCUCGCUGCGUCGCUGCUCACCAAAACUCGCCCACAGCUUCGCCGUGACCUGCUCUCCAUCCUCCACCCGAAAACUCGUCGUGAAACCCUCCGGUGAGCCGACAUUUCUGACUUCCCCCAAAUCGGGUCGCCGUGACCUUCUUCUCCGGUGAACUCAAUGCCGAGCUCCUCGGAGCCUCUCGUCUUCUCUGUUAGGUCCUAGAGGUAGCUUAGGUCCUUAGCGAACGUUUGCGCCACUUGUUGGACGCUCUACCGCACUCACCGUCGCCGGACACGACGCGCAGCGCCGCCGUGUUUCUGCUGGAGUUUGGCUCUCUCGUGGCCAGCUCAUUCCACACCGUUUCAAGCCUAGUCACCCACCUAGGAAGCUUCGCCGUAGUUCACUGGUGCUGUAGGAAACCCUAGGUUGCGCUCUACCGGCCUGAGAGCUCCGGCGUAAUGCCGAGCACCUCCGCUGAGCCGCCAUGGUCGACGGCAAGCCAUUUCCGGUGGCUCCGCCGUAAGAAAAAGGGGGGCCGUCUUAGGGUCUGAUUAAUCGGACCGUAACCCAGUGCCGAUAGUUUCCCGCCACCAGUUUCCCGCCUAACAACGCUAGACAGAAGAAAAGCUGACGCCAAUACUUGGGCUGCGUGCUCCCGUCCAUCUAUCCACUCGCGAAUGGCCCCACCUCAACUGGCGUGAGCUCAUGCAUGCCAUUUUGCAUGCAGUUUCUAUGAACUAAAAAAACCAUAACUCAUAAAUCAAACAUCUAAACUAAAAUUUGAUUAUACCAUUGGAUUUCUUACAAUAAAUUCUUUAAACAAGAUCCGACAUGCAUAUAUUUGAAUAAAAUUUAUUAACGAACAUUUAUAUUAUGAAGAUAGAACAUUUUUGUCGAUUGAGGAGCGACAAUGUUCAAGAUUUAGAGAAUAAUGUUCCAUCAUUAAAGGAAAAAUAUUCUCGGUUUUAAAGAACAAUAUUAUAAUUUUAGAUUCAUGAAGGUAGUUUCAUAAGAUGUAGUAAAAUAAAUAAAUACGUAACAUAAGCAAAAAAAUAAUAAAAUCUAGAGCAAAUUAUAUAGAAAAAAUCAAAACGUAUAACGGAAACAACAUAAGGAUACUUUUUAAACAUCCUAAAAUAUAUUAUAGAACAUCACAUGUGUACAAAGUGAACAUCAAUAAAUAUCACAUAGAACAUCAUUAAAUACAUUGUAGAACAUCACAUAUAUAUUACGUGAACAUCACUAAAAUAUAUCCUAAAAAUAUAUUGUUGAACAUCACAUGUGUACUAAGUAAACAUCACUAAAUACCACAUAGAACAUCAAUAAAUACAUUAUAUAAACAUCACUAAAUAUAUUAUAAAACAUCACAUGUAUAUUAAGGGAACAUCACUAAAUACAUCGUAGAACAUCACUAGAUAUAUUAUAAAACAUAAAAUGAAUAUUGCAAGAACAUCAAAAAAAAACAUCAUACAUCACAUAUAUACCACGAGACCAUAAAAAAUCAUAAAAGAUCACAUGUAUAACACGUGAACAUAAAAAACUUAUAUACUAGAUAAACAUAAAAAAACACAACAUAGAAUAUCAUAGGAAAUAAUAAAAAAAGAAAAGGUAAAAAUAUAUAAAAUGAAAAUAAAGAUAAACACAUAAAAGAGAAAAAAAUGAAACAAAUGAUGAGCGAAAAGAAUAAAAGAAAAAUAAAAUAAAAAAUUAAAGAAGGUUAAAAAUUAAAAAACAUGAAUCAAAAGAAAAUAUAAUUAGAAAAAACAAAGAAAUAAAUAAAAAAUAAAAGGAAAUAUAAACGAAAAAUAUUAAAACAACAUCAGCGUGCGAACAUAAAAAUGAUAAAAAGGGAAAAAAGAAAAAGGAAAUAAGAAAAAAAUGAAAAUAAAAAAGAUAUCUAAGAACUUAAAAAACUAACGUAACAUCUUGGAGUUAAAGAAAAAAAUAAAAAAAAGACGGCAUCUAAAAAGUAAGAAAAAGAAAGAAAAGGGAAAACAAUAAAAAAGGAAACUAAUAAACAUCAAAUUGAAAAAUGAAGAUAAUAAUAAAGAGUCACAUAAAACAAAUAAAGAAAGGAGAACAGAAGCAAGAAAAAGGGAAAAAAAGAAAUAAAAAAGGAAAGGAAAAUAAAAGAACAAAUAAAAGGAAAACAUACGUGUAUAUAUAAAAAAGAAAGAAAAUAUACAGACAUAGGCGUAUCCAGAUGCUUCCUGGUUGGAAAAUACAGGCUUGCGCUCUCCAUUGCUCGUGCACGUGGACUCCACAUGGGCCUGACGAAUACCGUGAAAACAAACGAGUGUGGUGCCUAGAAUUGUUCAGCGCGGGAAUCAUCGGACCGUGUCUCCCGUCCGAACGUUCGCACGGGAAGAUUCCCGGGAAAAGGGGGUCAAUCGGUUCGUAAGGGUCUGAGGAUCACGUUCAUGCCCAUGGUUUGGUCGGAGGCCUCGCCGUCGCGGAGAAAUCGCCGGUGAGAGUCGCCUCGGUCGUGAGGAAGACGACCCUGACAUGCGGGACCCGCUGUCAGUGACACAUCGUUUCCCUCCUUUUCUUUUAUUCAAAUCCAGGUUUUUGGCUUUCUUGCAAAAAUCAUAUCUUCCGUUUCUGAGAUCCAAAAAUUGUGAAACAAAUUUUGUGACGUUCCUUGAGAUGGCUAGUUUUUAAUAAAAAUAUAAAAUGUACCAUGUUUUCUGGGAAAAAUAAUUGUUAUGAUUUAAUCUUGUUAUUCAUGUGUAAAUUCAUGUCUCUUGAUAUGCUGCUCCUUUUGUUAUGAAAUUUUUAUGCUCAGCUCUGAGUGGUUUUAGAAUGCUAUGAUAAAUAUUUCAUGAUUUUUGGAGUAAUAUAUCAGUGAUAUGAAAUUUAUGUUGGUCCUAUGACUUGUUUUCUUAAUUAAAUCCUCAUAAAUGAUUUAUGCUUAUGCUGGUAUUCUAUUUUGGUGUCAAGCUUGUUCAUGGUAAUAGUAACAUGUAAAUAAUCUGAAAUCUGUUGUUUGACACUAUCUAAGCUAUGUUUCUUAAUUUAUGAAAUAAGCAUCUUGAUGCAUGUUAAAUGUUUAUCUUAAUUUUGGCAUGCGCAAUUGCUCUGAAAAUUUUAUGGUGAUAUCAAGAUGCUAUGCUUGUGCUGCUGUAAUUUUUGUAUAUUUUUCCGAGCACUUUUGCUGGUAUCUUGUAAAUAUGUCUUUUUAUGGAAUUAAUUUAAUAAAUGUCACUUUAUUAUGUGUUAGUGGUCAACAUGUGAUGUUUCUCGUAAUCUUAUGGUGUGUUUGUGUUUAUAAGCCAUGUGGUUGACACUAUUUAUGCUUUGACCAUGUUAUCAAAUAAUUAAUUAAAGGGGUUAAAAGUUGAUCUAGACAGC